rnacentral:rRNA from 1 species
UGCAGUCGAACGAGAAAGCGGGAGCAAUCUCGCGAGUACAGUGGCGUACGGGUGAGUAACACGUGGGUAAUCUACCUCAUAGUGGGGAAUAACGCUGGGAAACCGGCGCUAAUACCGCAUAAUCCGCGACCUUAAGGGAAGCCGGGAAAGCAGCAAUGCGCUGUGAGAGGAGCCCGCGGCCGAUUAGCUAGUUGGGAGGGUAAAAGCCUACCAAGGCAUAGAUCGGUAGCCGGCCUGAGAGGGCACACGGCCACACUGGCACUGAAACACGGGCCAGACUCCUACGGGAGGCAGCAGUGGGGAAUCUUGCACAAUGGGGGCAACCCUGAUGCAGCGACGCCGCGUGAGCGAUGAAGCCCUUCGGGGUGUAAAGCUCUUUCGGCAGGGACGAUAAUGACGGUACCUGCAGAAGCAGCUGCGGCUAACUACGUGCCAGCAGCCGCGGUAAUACGUAGGCAGCGAGCGUUGUUCGGAGUUACUGGGCGUAAAGGGUGUGUAGGCGGUCCCCUAAGUUUGGUGUGAAAUCUCCCGGCUUAACCGGGAGGGUGCGCCGAAAACUGGAGGGCUAGGGUGCGGGAUGGGAGAGUAGAAUUCCUGGUGUAGCGGUGAAAUGCGUAGAUAUCAGGAGGAAUACCGGUGGUGUAGACGGCUCUCUGGACCGCGACUGACGCUGAGACACGAAAGCGUGGGUAGCAAACAGGAUUAGAUACCCUGGUAGUCCACGCCCUAAACGAUGCAUAUUUGGUGUAGGUCAUUCAGUUGAUCUGUGCCGGGAGCUAACGCGUUAAAUAUGCCGCCCUGGGGGAGUACAGUCGCAAGGCUGAACUCA